rnacentral:rRNA from 1 species
UACGAAGGGGGCUAGCGUUGCUCGGAAUGACUGGGCGUAAAGGGCGCGUAGGCGGCUGGCACAGUCAGCUGUGAAAUUCCCGGGCUUAACCUGGGGGCUGCAUUUGAUACGUGUGAUCUAGAGUGAGGAAGAGGGUCGUGGAAUUCCCAGUGUAGAGGUGAAAUUCGUAGAUAUUGGGAAGAACACCGGUGGCGAAGGCGGCGACCUGGUCCUUGACUGACGCUGAGGAGCGAAAGCGUGGGGAGCGAACAGG